UUAGUGUGCAGUUACAAAUAUAAGGUU
rnacentral:sRNA from 1 species